UCCCAGCUCGUCUAGCGGUAGGACGCCGGGCUCUGAACCCGGUAGGCGAGGUUCGAAUCCUUGGCUGGGAG
rnacentral:tRNA from 1 species